CUUUGCAUUAAUUUACCUAAAGAGGAUUUACAGGGCGGAUCAGACAUUUUAAAAGGCAACCAUGAAGUUAAAUGCGAUUGCAAGUAAAAUGGGGCCCUGUAUAUAUUAGCAUCCAUUAGCUCUAGACUGGCAUUGCCCUAAAAUGAAUUACACCUAUUAUUGUUUCGAAAUGUGAGGUGACUGCAUGUAUAAGGAUCUGGAUGGAAAGAAACAGAACGUGAUGCAAGAAACAUAAGCGAUACUCGUAUACCUAUUUUAAAAUACUCUACAGUGAGAUUCCAGCAUUCCAACCACAAGAACGUAUCCCGAAGAGAAGAAAAAGAAUGAAUAAUGAAAGAGAGCAAAUCAUUCUGUUUGAAGAAGAAUAUAAGGAAUACCAGUACAAGAAAGAAAAAAAAAAUAUGGAGAGGAAAAGGAGAGAAAAGGAAAAGGCAAUAAAUAAAUAUAAGAUUACAAAUAUAUCUGCCAUAAAAAGAAAAAAAAAACAGUAAGUUAAUUCUUUGCCAAGGAAAAACAUGAAGGAGAGAACCACACCUGAUAUUCUAGAGGAUGAAGAGCACCAUGAAGAAAACCCCCGCAGAUCUGGUAGUUGGAGUACUGAUGACGAUGAUGGACAAGUUCUUUGAAAACAAAAAUAAUGCCAGUGGAGGGAAAUAUUAAACCUAAGACAAAGAAAAGCGAUGUUUGCAUAUGUACUCUGAAUGCCAGCACACUUACAAUUAAAGAAAUUAAAUGGAUGACAUUA